GAUGAAGAACGUAGCGAAAUGCGAUAAGUAAUGUGAAUUGCAGAAUUCAGUGAAUCAUCGAAUCUUUGAACGCUCAUUGCGUCCCUUGGUAUUCCGAGGGGCAUGCCUGUUCGAGCGUCAUUAUAACCCCUCAAGCUCGGCUUGGUGUUGGGGCCUGCCGCACGGGCAGCCCUUAAAAUCAGUGGCGGUGCCAUCUGGCUCUAAGCGUAGUAAUUCUUCUCGCUAUAGAGUCCCGGUGGAUGCUUGCCAUUAACCCCCAAUUUCAAUGGUUGACCUCGGAUCAGGUAGGGAUACCCGCUGAACUUAAGCAUAUCAAUAAGCGGAGGA
rnacentral:misc_RNA from 1 species